rnacentral:sRNA from 1 species
UGAACAGUCUGCUAAUCGGGUGUUGGU